ensembl:lncRNA
UUUAAAUCCUAUAGUUCUUUCUGUAAGCAUAGGAGCACUAUUUGCAGCAUUCUGGCUAAAAUUCAAUGUGAAUGCUUAUAUUGCGCCAACUCCAAUCCCCUCCCAGUUUCGAACGGAUACGAUAUUUAUCUUCACUUCCCAUCUUUGCAGUUGUGUAUUGUUGCUGUAGGUUGCUACACAACUGCUGCCUCAUCGGUGGCCGUGUUUUGCUGGUGAAUAACGUGCUCCCCGUGCGCAGAUGAACCGUGAAGCUAUUUGGAGUCCUUGAGCGAGAACCCCAAGAUACAUGCCUCGCAGCCCACCUGCAAGCUGCUCUUCUUCAGGCUAGCAUGCAUCCCUGCACUUCUGUUUGGGGCUUUCCCGAAUGGAAACAAAAGAGGCCUCCAUAAAUUCCUUGGACUACACAGAACUCUUUGCAGAGCCCUCAGGCUGGCUAGAAACGCAAGAGACCAGUGGAGAACAGCCCCACGGAGAGCACGUCGUCCCCACGGCGCUGAACCACCCCUUCUGGUGCAGUUCUCGACCAAGGAUACAGUCAAUUCUCCAUCAUCCAUCAUUGUGGAGAGCUGGCAGGAAUACGGAGGAGCUGAAGGGCUGCAGCAGCGCUCGCACUGUGUUUACUGAACUUGCCUAAAACAUGAGGCCAAAGCGUUUACUUAUGGUCUGGCUGGCGGGCAAAGUUGACCACAGCAAAGGCUGCUAGAGACUAGACACACUCAGAAAUGAAACCAGUGCAAAUCCUCCAUGCUCUUCCUCCGUCAGUGUAAAAGGCCACUACAGCACUGCAAAAGUGGCCGUGUCCCUGCAAAAAACACUAUGCAAAAGCACAAAGAUGCAAGCACGAGCAGAGGAAAACUGCACUUGGAGAACUGCUUGCAGGAGGUGUUUUUGCAGGAACUAGUGCCAUCCAGGACAGGCUUGCAGGAACCUGGGCCUGUGCGCGUCUUCCUGCCCUGAAGCAUCGUUGCUUGUUAGCAAAUAUCUGCAAAGCACCAUAUCUAGCCACUGUAUUAAACAGAUGCUGAAAGACUUGGCCUCUUUCCUGAAGACAGAAGACAAAAAUCUACGUAAGGAGAUAAGUGAGCUAGUCAUAAAAGCAACAACAACAUGACUCUUGCUAAUUUAACUAAGCCCCUGUAUUUAUUCACUGAUCCAUAAGGCCUUGAUUAGAGGUUGACUAGGAAGACAUUUGUUUUAGAUUAUGUCCAGGGAAAAUCUCGUGCCUCUGAGAAGGUUCUGCUGUGUAUCAGUCCCAGGUGUUCAAAUAUUGGGAAUCAGAUCCCUUAAUAUUCUUGUGUUUGGCUUAAAAUAAAAAUGAAAAUGAUACCA